CCGAGGCAUGACAAAACGGAAGUAAGCCCUGGAACACCCUAAACUGCCAGAAAGGGAGACAGACUUUUUCCAAAGUGCCCACCGGAAGACAAAAGAGAGCUUGGCAGUACACUUCCGGUCAAAUCUGUGUCUCCUCUCCCAGACCCUCUGAAAGAAGAGUACCAUGGUCCACGCUACGUACGAUCUCGGUGCGGGUAGAGGCAGGUGGAUCCCCGGCAGGCCCAUCCAUCUGAUUUGCUGUCAUACAGAUACUCCAACAAAGGCUACUUAGGGGAGAAAGGGAAAGUUCCAGAAUUCAGUACAACAUCGUGUUGGGGAAGUCAAGGCAGAAGGGACCUGAAGGUGCUCACGACACAGCCACAAUCAGAAACUGGAGUCGUCUGUGUACAGAACAAUCCUGCCCACAGUGAAGCGGGUCUUCCUACAUCAGCUACCUAGUCAAGAUAAUCCCUCAUAGGCCUAGAGACCCAUCUCCCAAAUCAUUCUAGAGCCUGUCAAGCUGGCAACUAAUGACCUCGAGCUCCUGAUCCUCCUGCCACCACCGCUGUGCCCUGAGAUCACAUUACCCUGUGGAGUGCCACAGAGGGGAAUUGUUUUGUAAAAGAGCUGGUCUGUGCUCUUUAUCAGGGUCAGUUCCAUGAAGGACCGAGUUGGUCGGUCACUGUGCGGGUUGUGAGGUCAUUGAGAGGAAGAUGUGAGCCAGGUCUGGAAUGGGAAACCUCCACAGAGGACAUUGUUAGACAGUGGCUGCGAGCUGAGCAUGGGGGCUAGAAGGAAGAAGGUAGUAAGGGAGAGAGAGUCAAAGAAAUCUAUUCAUCUAAGACUAAAGAGGCAUGGUACGUGUGUGUAUAAAUGCAGGUCAGGGGUAAGUGUUCGGAACUGAUUCAUCUAGGGGCUGGGGAAUAACCAGUGGUAGAGUGCUUGCCGGGCAUGUCCAAGGUCCUGGAGGCCACCACCAGUACCAAAAAAAUAAGAAUAAAAAACCCAAACAAUAAGACAAACCAAAAGGGGGGAAAAAAGCAUUCAAAUCCAGGAAAGGGGGUGAAGAGUGAUCCUUUGCAUUAUUCUUACGUCUUCUAUGAAUAUGAAAGCCCUUCAAAAUAGAGCAUUAAAAAAGAUCAGAUGUUCCCUGUGGAGAUUUGCCAGAAGACAAUGAAAUAGUGGGCUGUUUUUAUCCCACUGAGAGCUGACUUGAGCAUUCCUUCAUGGAGCUUGUGUUAUGUUAUCUGCCCUGUGCCAGAGACUGUGUCCAGUUAUGAUCCUGCAUGCUGUUUCCACCCAGUAAGAUCGAAAGGACACGAAAGAAUUCUAACCUCCUUUUAGGAGCCAAGACGUCCUUGCAACCCACUCUCCUCGUUAAUAUAAUGUAUGUAAUGAAGUAGAUGCUUUCUAGCUCUAACAUAUGUGAGUGAUUCUCGUUCAUAUCUUUUCUUUCC
rnacentral:sRNA from 1 species